UUCCCGUGACAGGGGAGCCCCUUAUGGGGCUGAGAGGCCGAAAGGCGACCCUUUGAACCUUUAGCAGCGGUAAUUCCUGCAAGGGAGGCACAAGACAUAAAAU
rnacentral:ncRNA from 1 species